rnacentral:lncRNA from 1 species
GGUCUCUAUGAAAUGACUCAUUAGUGGUCUCGAUUCAAUGACUCAUCAGUGAUCAUGAUUCAAUGACUCAUCAGUGAUCAUGAUUCAAUGACUCAUCAGUGAUCAUGAUUCAAUGACUCAUUAGUGGUAUCUAUUCAAUGACUCAUUAGUGGUAUCUAUUCAAUGACUCAUCAGUAGUGUCGAUCCAAUGACUCAUCGACGGUCUUGAUUCAAUGACUCAUCAGUGGUCAUGAUUCAUUGACUCACCAGUGGUCUCUAUUCAAUGACUCAGUAGUGGUCAUGAUUCAAUGACUCAUCAGUGGUCUCUAUUAAAUGACUCAUUAGUUGUCUCAAUUUAAUUACUCAUCAGUGGUCUCGAUUCAAUGACUCAUCAGUGAUCAUGAUUCAAUGACUCAUUUGGUCUCUAUUCUAUGACUCAUCAGUGGUCUUCAUUCAAUGACUCAUCAUUGGUCUUGAUUCAAUGACUCAUCAGUGAUCUCGUUUUUCACAAUUUAAAAACAGAAGAAAUGUGCCUGGUAUAAAAUUUGACUGACAAUAUCGAAUCGUAAUAGAUGGCUGAUGUUGUAAUUACUGUGAUACAUAUAGUUUAAAUGGUUCAUACUAAUAUCGAAAGGAAAUCUUUAAUGUUGUCUUUAUCAAAACUAUAUUGUAUCUUGGACAUUCUUAAUACAUAUAUUAGAAAAAAAGUAGUCUUCUUACACUAUACGAGUAAAAAAAAUGUAGGAACAAAGUUUUUAUUGAAUUAGACAUAGUUAACUGAUAAAUGGCUGUG